GCCAGCUUGGCGCAGUGGUAACGUACGUUUUAACCACUCUGAACAUACAUUCUUGAAAACACUCCUAACGAUAUCUUCAGGCGUCGCACUUGUACACGUCUAGAAAUGCGAAGAUCGCUCGUUCGAUUCGGGCAGUUGGCA